GCCAAGGUAGCCUACCAUUAGCUUGUGUACAGACUCAACCCAAAUUUUUUAAAUCCCAACUUGAGUUGAAUUUUCUAUUGUACCCCAGCCUGUGUGCAGAUCAACUCAACCUGAAUUUUGUAAUUUUGAACACAAGUUGGAAUUUAAAAAAUUUGGGUUGAGUCUGCACACAUGCUAAUGGUACCUUGGC